rnacentral:rRNA from 1 species
GCGUCCUUCCUUCCGGAGACGCGUCCUACUCUUAGCUGAGCGGGGCGUGGAGACGGAUCGUUUACUUUGAAAAAAUCAGAGUGUUUCAAGCAGGCAUCAUCGCUCUUGCAUGGAUUAGCAUGGGAUAAUGAAAUAGGACCUUGGUGCUAUUUUGUUGGUUUCGAGCACCGAAGUAAUGAUUAACAGGGACAGUCAGGGGCACUCGUAUUCCGCCGAGAGAGGUGAAAUUCUCAGACCAGCGGAAGACGAACCACUGCGAAAGCAUUUGCCAGGGAUGUUUUCACUGAUCAAGAACGAAAGUUAGGGGAUCGAAGACGAUCAGAUACCGUCGUAGUCUUAACCAUAAACCAUGCCGACUAGGGAUUGGAGGAUGUCCACUUUUGACUUCUUCAGCACCUUACGGGAAACUAAAGUCUUUGGGUUCCGGGGGGAGUAUGGUCGCAAGGCUGAAACUUAAAGGAAUUGACGGAAGGGCACCACCAGGAGUGGAGCCUG